rnacentral:rRNA from 1 species
UGGUGGCGGCGUGCUUAACACAUGCAAGUCGAACGAUGAACCUCCUUCGGGAGGGGAUUAGUGGCGAACGGGUGAGUAACACGUGGGCAAUCUGCCCUGCACUCUGGGACAAGCCCUGGAAACGGGGUCUAAUACCGGAUACGACUCACGACCGCAUGUGAUCUGGGUGGAAAGCUCCGGCGGUGCAGGAUGAGCCCGCGGCCUAUCAGCUUGUUGGUGAGGUAACGGCUCACCAAGGCGACGACGGGUAGCCGGCCUGAGAGGGCGACCGGCCACACUGGGACUGAGACACGGCCCAGACUCCUACGGGAGGCAGCAGUGGGGAAUAUUGCACAAUGGGCGCAAGCCUGAUGCAGCGACGCCGCGUGAGGGAUGACGGCCUUCGGGUUGUAAACCUUGUUUGACUUGGAAAAACAUCUCAGUGCCCGAGCUU